ACCACUUGAAACAAGCUUUCCCAUGGAGUUCCGAAAUCCGAGUUUCGCCAUGGGUAAACUUGUAAUUAAUUCGUUGUUUUUAUUAAGAAAACGAGUCUGGUUUUAAUGAAGGUUUGAUUUUGGGUUAUGGAUAGAAAGAGACAUUUAUAGGGCUCUGCAUGUGCUGGUCCUUUGGUCACAAUUCCUAGAGAAGGAGAACGUGUGUUUUACUUUCGUCAAGGACACUUGGAACAGCAACAAUCAACAACUCCUUGGAGGGAUGGAUUUGAGGACUGAUUCAUGGUGCGAGAGCUUCUUGUUAAUUGGAGUUUUAUUAGACCUGAUUAUGAGUCGAACUAAUAUAAAAUUAUAGGUCUGUUUUAUAGGUCUAAGGCCCAGCUGAAAAAAUAGAUUUAAAUUUUGUUCAA